UACGUAGGGGGCAAGCGUUGUCCGGAAUCAUUGGGCGUAAAGCGCGUGUAGGCGGUUCGGUAAGUCUGCUGUGAAAGUCCAGGGCUCAACCCUGGGAUGCCGGUGGAUACUGUCGGACUAGAGUACGGAAGAGGCGAGUGGAAUUCCUGGUGUAGCGGUGAAAUGCGUAGAUAUCUGGAGGAACACCGGUGGCGAAGGCGGCGUCCUGGACCAACACUGACACUGAUGAGCGAAAGCCAGGGGAGCAAACGGG
rnacentral:rRNA from 1 species